rnacentral:lncRNA from 1 species
GGGAGCUCAGCUUAGAGAACAGGAAGUGGGAGCCACAUACCCCGAGCUGGCGGCUUGAGCCUGUGGUAUCUAGGCUCACCUCACUGCGGUUGGUGGAGGUGAUGGAGGUUGCAGCUUGGCCAGCAUGGUAGAAAGGUGGCAGGGCACGUCUGGCUUUUACCACCCAGUUGCUUCGAGCCAGGAGAUGGAGGAGUCAUCUGUUGCACGCUGGAGGCUGGAGCCUGCAGAUGGCAUGGUUCUGUGGCUCACCUCGCUGCAGUUGGUGGCAGAGACAGAGACUGCAGCUUGACCAGAGUGGUGGAGUGAUAUGUAUCUCAAGAGCACUCCACAACAAAGAUUCUGCCUGCAAUCCUCCACUUCAAGGUCUGUUCCAGGAAACCUGUGUAACACAGUUAUGCAUAGAGUGGUCUUAGGAAGCUGACUCUAACAUGAAAAUUUAGAGUUGGAUCUUUUGCUGACAUAUUGAAUAUUCAUAAGAGCAUAUGAUACAUUUGUCUAUCAUAAACAUGUCAUUUCAAAAAACCCUCAAAGUUGCCUUGUAGAACAUAAUUUUAAAACUAGUGUGUAGGAAUAUUUCAUAUCAGUUAUUCAGUCUUCUUAAUAUCUGAACCGAAAUUAAUCUUCCAUUCUGCUUUUAUUUAUAAAUAAUGAUUUAUUGUCAGAUUCAAUAAUUUAUAUUUUCAUUUAUUCUAAGGUAGGAAAUACCAGCAUAAAAAUAAAUUAUUUGAAACAAAUCACA